rnacentral:tRNA from 1 species
GCCGAGGUGGCGGAAUGGCAGACGCAGCGGACUCAAAAUCCGCCGGGGUAACACCCGUGGGGGUUCGAGUCCCCCCCUCGGCACCA